GCAUAUCAAUAAGCGGAGGAAAAGAAACUAACAAGGAUUCCCCUAGUAACGGCGAGUGAAGCGGGAAGAGCUCAAAUUUGAAAUCUGGUGGCCUCAGGUCAUCCGAGUUGUAAUCUAUAGAAGUGUUUUCCGUGCUGGCUCAUGUACAAGUCCCUUGGAACAGGGCGUCAUAGAGGGUGAGAAUCCCGUCCUUGACAUGAACUACCAGUGCUCUGUGAUACAUUUUCAACGAGUCGAGUUGUUUGGGAAUGCAGCUCAAAAUGGGUGGUAAAUUCCAUCUAAAGCUAAAUAUUGGCGAGAGACCGAUAGCGAACAAGUACCGUGAGGGAAAGAUGAAAAGCACUUUGGAGAGAGAGUUAAACAGUAUGUGAAAUUGUUAAAAGGGAAACGAUUGAAGUCAGUCGUGCUCUUUGGAUUCAGCCGGUUCUGCCGGUGUACUUCCUUUGAGUGGGGUCAACAUCAGUUUUGAUCGCUGGAUAAAGGCUGGAGGAACGUAGCACCCUCGGGUGAACUUAUAGCCUCCUGUCACAUACAGUGGUUGGGACUGAGGAACGCAGCACGCCUUUAUGGCCGGGAUUCGUCCACGUACGUGCUUAGGAUGUUGACAUAAUGGCUUUAAACGACCCGUCUUGAAACACGGACC
rnacentral:rRNA from 1 species